CCAAAGGCUCUUUUCAGAGCCACCCACAAGUCUCAGUGAAAGAGCU
rfam:Tupaia chinensis contig173118, whole genome shotgun sequence.